GUAGCCAGAUUCGCAUCAAUCCACAUAUGUUGGGUGGGUUGGAGGGGAACUUAAACUAAAUUUCACCCUAAUCCACUUCAACAAAUGUGGAUUGAGAUGAAUCCGAUA
rfam:Sorghum bicolor cultivar BTx623 chromosome 8, whole genome shotgun sequence.